AGCGAGGCUUCAGAAGCAUUAGUGAUUGCAAGUGCGUCAGAAGCUGUGGCAUGUUUAAGAUUUGUGAAGACUCACUGGGUGGCUCUGAAGUUACUUCCAGCUGUUUCUGUUGCAGGACUUUUUGUGUCAAAUAGAAAGGUACUGUAGGCAGUGCCAUUUGACCACACCGAUCAUGUUUCCCCCUGAGCAUCCCGUGGAAGAGGUCGGUCGCUUGCUGUUAUGUUGCCUCUUAAAACAUGAAGAUUUAGGUCAUGUGGCAUUAUCUUUAGUUCAUGCAGGUGCACUUGGUAUUGAGCAAGUAAAGCACAGAACGUUGCCUAAGUCAGUGGUGGAUGUUUGUAGAGUUGUCUACCAAGCAAAAUGUUCGCUCAUUAAGACUCAUCAAGAACAGGGCCGUUCUUACAAGGAGGUCUGCGCUCCUGUCAUCGAACGUUUGAGAUUCCUCUUUAAUGAAUUGAGACCUGCUGUUUGUAAUGACCUCUCUAUAAUGUCUAAGUUUAAAUUGUUAAGUUCUUUGCCCCGUUGGAGGAGGAUAGCUCAGAAGAUAAUUCGAGAACGAAGGAAAAAGAGAGGUAAGAAUGUAAAAGGACAGAAGAUACUAUUAAAGCUUGUGCUUCACCCUGCCAUGUUGGAUCUGUGAUUUCAGAGUGAAGUUUCUCUACUGUUGAUCCCAUGUGACAUUUCUACCUGCUGCCAUCAUUUUUAUUAUAGUUAUGAUUAAAUACAGAAAUCUCGCUUAUUUUUCCAAGUGAUCAGACAAUGAGGCACUUUAGGAAUUGAGUGUGGUAUGAUUUGAUUACUAGUAAAUUGAUGUUGAAAACGUAAAUAAUCUUUGCUAAAUUGAUGGGAACAAGGAAGUACUUUUAUUAGUUAUCCUGGUAAUGAGAUAUAAUGGGAACAUUUAAACUUAUUGCCAUUCUUCUAAAGAAAUGUUUUUUGUUUGGAAAUAUUGAGUAUUCUGAUACAUGAAGAACUAAAAAGGGAAGCUAAAAGAGUUACUGACAUUUUCCUGGAAGUAGCUGUGUAAGGGUACAGAAAAGUCUUUUUGCAUUAAAUCCAAAUUUGAAUAAAAAUGCUUAGAAAUUAUAAAAUAGUUUAGAAUUUAGUCACUUGUGAUUAUAAAUAAACUACAGAAAUUUCUGAUUAUAUCCUUUUUUUUUUCUUUGAGAUGGAGUCUUGCUCUGUUGCCAGGCUGGAGUGCGGUGGUGCGAUCUCAGCUCACUGCAACCUCCGCCUCCCAGGUUCAAACGAUUCCCCUGCCUCAGCCUUCCAAGUAGCUGGGAUUACAGGCACGCGCCACCACGCCUGGCUAAUUUUUGUAUUUUAGUAGAGACGGAGUUUCACCAUGUUGGCCAAGAUGGUCUUGAUCUCCUGACCUCGUGAUCUGCCUGCCUCGGCCUCCCAAAGUGCUGGGAUUACAGGCGUGAGCCACCACGCCUGGCCUCUGAUCAUAUUAUGACUUAUACUGAUUUACUCACAAACCUGCUUAUUGAACAGUAUUGAUUACUGAGUUUCUGAUGGGCAUUUUGAACAAUAAGCUUAUGAAAGACUAAAGUGUGUUAGAAGCCAUCCUAAUUUGAUUGUUCCUGAACAAACCCUACACCAUAACAGCCUGUCUGAAUGCGAGGGGUGCUCUGGAUCAGGAAGUCACAGCAGUCACACUGCUGGAUUCCUUUAACCCAGACACGCAGGAACUCAGCCCGGGCCCAGCAGACAGGCUGCCUCGGCAUGAGGGAGAGAGAUUCCACAUUUGCCAUCUCAUAUCCGUGGGUUCUGAGCCCACACUGUCACUUUUAGAGUUUCUUGUGGAUUUAUAGAUUUAUUGUGUGUUGUUUCAGGCUGGUUUUCUUUUUUUUUCUUUUUUUUUGAAAUUAAGUAACUUGAAAAGAUUAAGUGAUUAAUAUUCCUGUUGCUGUGUCAGGGAUCCCCGAGCCUUCUCUCAGGCUUGAUGAUUCACUAAAAGGACUCAGAAGAGCUGUUAUAGUCACAGCUGUGUUUUUACUGCAAAAAGGAUACAGAUUAAAAUUAGCAGAGGGAAGGGUGCAUGGAGGGGAAGUCCAGAGGAAACUAGGCACACGCUUUGGUGUCUCUCCCCAGUGGCGUCACGUGGAUGUGCUUAGCUCUCCCAGCAACAGUGUCACAUCAUGUGUGAAGAAUUGUUAACCAGGCCAGCGCACCUGAGCCUCGAGUCUAGAGAUUUUGUUGGGGGCCAGUCACAUACGCAGGCAGUGCCCCUGUGACUGACCUCACUCAGGCUCCAGUGCCCCAGUGCAAAAACAAGUGGUCCCUCGCAAGUCCCAUCAUUAGCAUAAACUACCUGGCCAGACCACUGCCACAAGGUCCUGGGUGUCAGGUAUACCAAAAAACUUCUCAGGCAGGAUGUUCCAAGGGCUCAGAGCUCAGCUCUUGGAAGAAGGACCAAUCCUGAAGGGACAGACCUCCCUUGGGAAUUUGCAGGGUUUGAGCAACCCCGGCCUGCUAUGUUAGCUCUUUACUGCCCAGGUGUAUUAUCAUGUUGCUUAUUUUUUAUAUUAUAUGCUGAGGAGAUUUAGACCAAAAAUUUUAAAAGAGAUAAAGUAUAGGGAGGAAAUUCCACAUAUCACAGUGAAUUCAGUUGAUUCAGUUACACAGUAACAGAACCACUGAACUGGACCAGGGUGGACAAGCCAGGAACUAUGGGCCAAAUUCUACCUCUUGCUGGCUUUGGGUUGCCCAUGGACUAAGACCUUUUUUUUUUUUUUCAGUUUGAAAUUGUUUUUUAAAAAUUAAAAUAAGUAUAUUAUUUUGGCACAUGAAAAUUACAUGAAGCUAAAAUUGUAGCACCAUAAAUAAAGUUUUACGGGAGCACAGCCACACCUGUUGCUUUAUCUGUGGUUACUUUUUGUGCUACAGCAGCAGAGUUGAGUAUUUGCGACAGACUGCAUGGCCUGAAAGACUCAAAUGUUCACUCUCUGGCACUUGAGGAAGAGCUUGCUGGCUGCCGGGCUUCCCGUGCUUUGGGGCUUCUCCCCUCGUCGCACUCUCACUUUGUCUUUUUGUUCUGCCAGGGUGAUCAUUUCACUCUUGUUGUUGAGCAUUGCAAUUUAUAAUGUUGUUCAGAUGUUUAUUUGAAUGAAAUAUUUGUCCGAGAAUGGAUGUUAACAUUGUUAAGA
rnacentral:lncRNA from 1 species